rnacentral:tRNA from 1 species
GCCCCUGUAGCUCAAUGGAUAGAGCAACCGCCUCCUAAGCGGUAGGUUGAAGGUUCGACUCCUUCCUGGGGCA